rnacentral:snRNA from 12 species
UAACUCUUGUUUCAUUUCAAUAUACGAAACGUUUAAAUCUUUCGCCUUUUACUAAAGAUUUUCGUGGAAUGGAACAAUUAAAAGAGUUUUAAACACUUUUUAAAGCCCUCAGGGUUA